rnacentral:rRNA from 1 species
GAUGAACGCUGGCGGCGUGCCUAACUCAUGCAAGUCGAACGAAGCGCUUGAAGUUUUCGGAUGGAAAGUGACUGAGUGGCGGACGGGUGAGUAACGCGUGGAUAACCUGCCUCAUACAGGGGGAUAACAGUUAGAAAUGACUGCUAAUACCGCAUAAGCGCACAGUACCGCAUGGUACAGUGUGAAAAACUCCGGUGGUAUGAGAUGGAUCCGCGUCUGAUUAGCUAGUUGGCGGGGUAACGGCCCACCAAGGCGACGAUCAGUAGCCGACCUGAGGGGGUGACCGGCCACAUUGGGACUGAGACACGGCCCAAACUCCUACGGGAGGCAGCAGCGGGGAAUAUUGCACAAUGGGCGAAAGCCUGAUGCAGCGACGCCGCGUGAGUGAAGAAGUAUUUCGGUAUGUAAAGCUCUAUCAGCAGGGAAGAAAAUGACGGUACCUGACUAAGAAGCCCCGGCUAACUACGUGCCAGCCGCCGCCGUAAUAC